rnacentral:rRNA from 1 species
GACGAACGCUGGCGGCGUGCUUAACACAUGCAAGUCGAGCGGUAAGGCCCUUUCGGGGGUACACGAGCGGCGAACGGGUGAGUAACACGUGGGUGACCUGCCCUCAGCUCUGGGAUAAGCCUGGGAAACCGGGUCUAAUACUGGAUAUGACUCCAUGACGCAUGUUGUGGGGUGGAAAGCCUUGUGCGGCUGAGGAUGGGCCCGCGGCCUAUCAGCUUGUUGGUGGGGUGANGGCCUACCAAGGCGACGACGGGUAGCCGGCCUGAGAGGGCGACCGGCCACACUGGGACUGAGACACGGCCCAGACUCCUACGGGAGGCAGCAGUGGGGAAUCUUGCGCAAUGCGCGAAAGCGUGACGCAGCAACGCCGCGUGCGGGAAGACGGCCU